GUAGCUCACUUCGCGUUAGAAACAGAAAACGCACCAAAACUGGCUCGAAUUUCAAGAACGCAGUACAACGCCUUGAGAAGGCACGAUAAGGCAAGCUAACGCGCGUUAGCGCUCAUAGGGCGGCUUGUUUCAGCUCGAAUGAAGAGCUGCGAGAUAAGAUCUUGCAACCUUGUCAUCACAGAUCGAGCAGUUUUCCCCUAGUUUUGGCAACCCGGCGUUUGUUUUGAUUUUUUUCAAGCAGUUGAAAUGUCACAACCUGGGCACAACGAAAAAAACAAUAUUGUGUUCAAAACUUGUGCUUUUGCACAACUGGACUGGUAGGCAGAAACCGGUGCGGUGCGUUGACCGCGGCCUCUGCCGAAGGUGCAGGAACAAGUGCGAUGGUGUGCAGCUGAAAAACAUACGAUUUCCGGAGGCCGUGUGGGAGAUAGAUGUGAUGGAAGUUCUCCAGAAAGGUUCCGACCGACCAGUUCCGAUAGUGCGUGCGUACCAAAAAGGUCCCCGAAAUGGACAAGCCUCCGGAGUGUAGACUGCGGCGACGGUCGAGUCCAAGAGGAAUGGUUUCGGAAGUAGGCAGAAGAGCGGUGGCAGGGAAAAAAUGGAACCGAUUCCAUUAAAGAUAACCUGUAGGCAGCGGGAGUUACGACAUUAAUGGCCACACGUGCGACUUGGAGCAGCUGAUGAUAACAGCACACCAAGACGUGGGGCCCUCGCGGGAUGAUGCUGGUGGUGAUAACCAUUUUGGAGGUAUCGACGCGGUCGUGCGAUGCGAAAGAGCGUCUACCAGCUGGCCAGUCUCCUGGCUACUUUGAUCGUCGGGUCGUAAAGGAUAGCGAGCUACGUGAUCAUCAGGUUUGGCUUGGCUCAGUUGGUGAGGGUUAAAACUGAGGAUGGCGCGCAACGUGUUGCGGCACGCCAGGUCGGAGACCUACGGAGGGGUUAAAGUUACGGUUUCCGGUGUGGAUAUUGGCGUUAUGGUUGUCGGCCAUUGAUGUCCUGAACGAUAGGAUGAUGACACAGGUGAGGCUUGGUAUCGACUCCGCAGUGAGGGAAGUCAGGGAGCCGUUUAACCCCUCAAAACCGACCAGAAAUCUUUCCUUUGCCCACAUUUGGCAAUAUAUAUAUAUAUUAUUUUUAAAUCGUAAAAUAAACUGAUUUCAAGUAUGAUUCUGGA